CGGUAGGUAGGGCCGGGGAGCUAGCCCUUCCCUGUAACCCGAAACGGGCUACAUGCGGGGGCCAGAUAACCUAGAGAAGCGUGGAGAGAACAACGGUACAACACAUAGAGAAUGGAUGACUACGCGUCUACGUGGAACCCCGUAAGAGGCUGACCCAUCUGUAGGGAUGGGCUCCAGCCUCUGAACGUAUCGAACCGUGUUAGGCCCGGGAGGGAGCGGCACUAAGAUACGGCGGGGUUGCUGCGUAGUAACGUGUAGGACGUUACUCUAUGUGUCUAGGCCGUUGUUCUCUCCACCAUUCUCUAGGGGCUACCG
rnacentral:SRP_RNA from 1 species